UACGAAGGGGGCUAGCGUUGUUCGGAAUUACUGGGCGUAAAGCGCGCGCAGGCGGUUCUUCAAGUCAGAGGUGAAAGCCCAGAGCUCAACUCUGGAAUGGCCUUUGAGACUAGAGGACUUGGGUACGGGAGAGGUGAGUGGAAUUCCGAGUGUAGAGGUGAAAUUCGUAGAUAUUCGGAAGAACACCAGUGGCGAAGGCGGCUCACUGGCCCGUUACCGACGCUCAGGCGCGACAGCGUGGGGAGCAAACAGG
rnacentral:rRNA from 1 species